UGGUGGCAGUACAGGCCGGCACAAAGGGAAGGCCACAAGAUGGUGGAAGUGGACGGGGAGGAAGGGGCCGUGGACGCAGACAUCUGGGCCCGCAGGAGAGAUGACUGGGUCGCAACCAGGGUGCCUUAUGCCGGUAGGAAGGACACUGGAAAAAUGAAUGCCCAGUGAAGAAAUGUGCCCCUAUGAUGGCAGCAGAGGAACAGGAAUAGGGGUGUCAGGGGUGACGGACCACCCUUUCCCCGGAACCCCAAGUAAAAAUGCAGGUGGGAAGUUCGGAAAUAGAUUUUUUAGUGGACUCUGAAGCGGCACAAACUGCCAUAAACCGACCUUUUCAGUUGCCGGUGGCAGAUUCCCUUACCAUGGUGGGCGCCACAGGCAAAGGCACCAAGUGCCCCGUGUAUGCCCCAGCGGAAUGUGCCUUGGAAAACUGAACUAUAUCCCACAAGCUACUUUACCUGCCCAAGUGCCCAAUGCCUCUGCUGGGACGGGAUCUGUUUUGUCGCCUAGGUGCCACCCUGCAUUUUACUCAAGACAAAAUAACCCUUAUCUUACCCUCCAAGAAUGCAUGGAUCAUGACCCUUGCAGUUGAGCCCUCAGUUAGGCAAGCCCCAGAAUGGAGCUAAUGGGAGGACCAGGUGUACCCCCUAGUGUGGGCAGGAGGGGUCCCAGGGAAGGCCACCCAUCAAACCCCCGUUAAUGUUCAGCUCAUGCCAGGGAAAGGCCCGGUGCAAGUCAAACAGUAUCCAAUCAACAGGGAAGCCAGGGAAGAGCAUCAUGGAGGGAAAGAGU